rnacentral:rRNA from 1 species
CAGUAGCCGCGGUAGUCCGUAGGUGGCAAGCGUUGUCCGGAAUUAUUGGGCGUAAAGGGCUCGCAGGCGGUUUCUUAAGUCUGAUGUGAAAGCCCCCGGCUCAACCGGGGAGGGUCAUUGGAAACUGGGAAACUUGAGUGCAGAAGAGGAGAGUGGAAUUCCACGUGUAGCGGUGAAAUGCGUAGAGAUGUGGAGGAACACCAGUGGCGAAGGCGACUCUCUGGUCUGUAACUGACGCUGAGGAGCGAAAGCGCGGGGAGCGAACAGGAUUAGAUACCCCGGUAGUCCCUGUCUCUUAUAC